AGCGGAGCGUGUGGUUUAAUUCGAUGCUACACGAAGAACCUUACCAGGGUUUGACAUGCAAGUGGUAGGAAUCCGAAAGGUGACCGACCCUUCGGGGAGCUUGCACAGGUGCUGCAUGGCUGUCGUCAGCUCGUGUCGUGAGAUGUUCGGUUAAGUCCGCUAACGAGCGCAACCCUCGUCGUGUGUUAUACGUGUCACACGAUACUGCCGGUAUCAAGCCGGAGGAAGGUGGGGAUGAUGUCAAGUCAGCAUGGCCUUUAUAUCCUGGGCUACACACACGCUACAAUGGCAGAUACAAUAGGUUGCGAAACCGCGAGGUGGAGCCAAUCCUCAAAGUCUGUCUCAGUUCAGAUUGUAGGCUGCAACUCGCCUGCAUGAAGUUGGAGUUGCUAGUAAACGCAGGUCAGCUAUACUGCGUUGAAUACGUUCCCGGGGUUU
rnacentral:rRNA from 1 species